rfam:Dipodomys ordii contig_1450, whole genome shotgun sequence.
GGUGGCUCAGUGGUAGAGUGCUUGCCUUGCAUGCAUGAGGCCCUGGGUUCAAAUCUUCAGCACCA